GAUGACAUGAGGAAUGUAUCUGUUCAACUACUGCAUGAUGAAGACAUGAACUAAAACUAUUCUGACAGAG